CCCAGGGUGAGGAAGCUGGGUUUUUACACAUCAGUUCCCCCUCUGCUGGGGAGGCUCUCACUCUCCUGCAGCCAGAGGAAGCCCUCGGGCAGAGAGACUCAGGACAGCGGCCACAGGAGCCCAGAUGCAGUCUCAGAACCCUGCUCAACACCACUCUCGAACCACUGCCAAUCCAAGCACCUGAGGCCUGAAUAAGUAAGGAGAGGACUGAAGGAUAUGCCUGACCAGAUGCCUGACCCUGACCUCCAAGAUCUGGACUUCUGGCCCCUUCCCCUUUUAAGCCCAUAUCCUACUUCUCUCCCCAUCACUCAUGCACCCCAGGAAUUCCAAGCUUCUUAAAUAGGUCAACCUGAUUCUCACCUCCAAGCCUUUGCCCUUGCUGUUCCCUCCACCUAUAGCCCUGUUUCCCUAUAGUUUCCUUUGGUGGAUGCAUCUCAUUAAUUAGUUGUCAAUAAAUGCCAACCUCC